UAUGUGAUCGUCUCUCGCAUAUCAAUAAGCGGAGGAAAAGAAACUAACAAGGAUUCCCCUAGUAACGGCGAGUGAAGCGGGAAGAGCUCAAAUUUGAAAUCUUAAAGGGUUUCCCUUUACGAAUUGUAGUUUAAAGAAGUGUUUUCUGUUGAGGUUUUGGUAAAAGUUCUUUGGAAUAGGACAUCAUAGAGGGUGGGAAUCCCGUAUUUGACCUUUACUUUCAACUUUGUGAUACACUUUCAAAGAGUCGGAUUGUUUGGGAAUGCAGUCCAAAAUGGGUGGUAAAUUUCAUCUAAAGCUAAAUAUUGGCGAGAGACCGAUAGCGAACAAGUACCGUGAGGGAAAGAUGAAAAGAACUUUGAAAAGAGAGUUAAACAGUACGUGAAAUUGUCAAAAGGGAAGCGUUUGACACCAGUGUUGUUUUUCUGAAAAUCAAUUAAAGAACUGUUUAUGCUAAGCUGUUUAGACUUUAUCAGCUAUCUGUUUAGUUUUGAGCUUUUCUUUAAUGCACUUUUCAGUUAGCAAGUCAACAUCAAUUUCUUUUGCUGUAAAAAAGCUUGAGGAAGGUGGCUUGAGAUUCGUCUUAAGUGUUUAUAGCCUCUUGCCUAUGCAGUCGGAGAGAUUGAGGUCUGCAGCGUAGAUCCUUCGGGGCUAAAUGCAUUUGUGCUAAGUUAUAGCAUUUUAUAGACAACUUGUUGACUAUGAUUUGUCUUGUAGCUUACUCGCUUAUGUUAUUUUACCUACGCUUAGGAUGUUGAGUAGCGACAUACGCAC
rnacentral:rRNA from 1 species